AUGAAUAAACUAGCUGGAUUUUCUAUGCAUUUAUCUCUACAUGUUCACUGCUUUAUUUUGGAGGCAAACUAGGUUGUCUCAUUGGACGUCGUUGGAGCAUGAUUAUUGGUUCUCGUAUUUUCUGUUAGCAGAAUGGAAGUUCGACCCUUGAUAUCAGUUGGUGGAUGUUUCCUGAUUUGUCUGGCAAUCGGUACACCACUAACGUUUUGAAACCUCACUCCUUACUUAACUUCUUACCUGAGGCAAAGAGGCAGGAAGGACACAACGUAUGAAGAAACUAGCUGGAUAUUCUAUGCAUUUAUCUCUACAUGUUCACUGCUUUAUUUUGGUGGCAAACUAGGUUGUCUCAUUGGACGUCGUUGGAGCAUGAUUAUUGGUUCUUGUAUUUUUAGUUUUGGCAUAGCAGUGACGCACUGGAGUAUACAACACAGCCUGGCAGCUACCAUAAUCACUUACGGAGUGGUUGAUAUCUUAGGUUAUGUCUGUUGCUAUGGUCACCCCCUAGUCACAACUAUAGAGG